UAGUAUAGAGCAGCGAUACUCAACCUUUUUUGUCCCUGGGCCACAUAGUAGCUAUUGCCACAGCUUGCGGGCCACAAUCUAGUUGAAGUAAUAUACAGGAUGGUGCAAAUGAAAGGAAUAAAUUCGUUAUUUUGUAAACCGGCGACUUUAAGGAAAAAUCCUGAAAUAGGAAUUUUCGGUUAUUUAAACUACUUGACCCCCAAGAAGAGGGAAGAAAUUUUAGAAUUAUUGGUAAAUGGUAUCAAACGAAUGGAAUACCGGGGAUAUGACUCAGCUGGUGUAGCUGUCGACUCCCCCGAAACCAAGGAUAUCUUCAUAAUUAAAAAAACCGGCAAGGUCGCUCUGCUCGCCGAAGAAAUAAAAAAUAAAAGUGAUGUCUUAGACAUGCAAAAGUCGAUGGACAUCCAUUGCGGUAUUGCUCACACCCGUUGGGCCACUCAUGGUGUCCCCAGUGAGGUAAACAGCCAUCCACAAAGAUCAGAUGUCGAAAAUGGGUUCGUAGUCGUCCACAAUGGUAUCAUCACGAACUACAAAGAAGUCAAGGUUUUCCUUGAGAAGAAAGGACACAAAUUCGAGAGUGACACUGAUACCGAGAUAAUCGCAAAAUUGAUUUAUCAUUUUUACAAGCUGCAUCCUACUUAUUCGUUUAGAGAACUCGUGGAGAACGUUGUGCAGCAGUUGGAAGGCGCUUUCGCUCUUUGUUUCAAAUCAAAGUUCUUUCCCGGAGAAUGCGUGGCUACAAGAAGAGGUUCUCCUCUUCUAGUUGGCAUCAAAACCGCCACUCGUUUAGCCACCGACCAUGUACCUAUUUUAUACGGAAAAGAAGAUCCAUCGUCACCAACUCAGAAAGAGGCGGAUUCCAAUCCAGAAUUCAGGCCUCAUGGACGAGGAGAAUACCCUACGUUACCAAGAACAGGGUCAACAUCCGAAUUCGAACCUCUUGAAGACAAACAAGUCGAAUAUUUCUUUGCUUCAGAUGCUUCCGCAAUUAUUGAGCAUACCAACAGGGUGAUUUAUUUUGAAGAUGACGAUGUGGCAGCUGUUAAAAACGGUUCCCUUAGCAUCCACAGAAUCCGAAGAGCGGGAGAUGAUCCACAAAAACGAGAAAUUACCACUUUAAAGAUGGAGUUGCAACAGAUAAUGAAAGGAAAUUAUGAUUUCUUCAUGCAGAAAGAAAUUUUUGAACAACCCGAAUCUGUCAUCAACACUAUGAGAGGACGUGUAAACUUUGAAAACGGGACUGUAACUCUGGGUGGAAUAAAAGACUACAUUCCAGAAGUAAAAAGAUGUAGAAGACUAAUGUUGAUCGGUUGCGGAACCAGUUACCACAGUGCCAUCGCCACAAGGCAGUUGCUGGAAGAAUUGACUGAAUUACCCGUCAUGGUGGAAUUGGCGAGUGACUUUUUAGAUCGUACCACACCUGUGUUCAGAGAUGACGUUUGCUUCUUUAUUUCACAAUCUGGGGAAACGGCAGAUACACUCAUGGCCUUGAGAUACUGUAAACAAAGAGGUGCCUUAAUUGUCGGUAUUACCAACACUGUCGGUAGUUCCAUUUGCAGAGAAUCACACUGCGGUGUCCACAUUAAUGCAGGACCCGAAAUCGGUGUGGCUUCCACUAAAGCAUACACAAGUCAGUUUAUUUCAUUGGUUAUGUUCGCACUAGUCAUGAGCGAAGAUAGAUUAUCUCUUAGACAAAGAAGAGAAGAGAUAAUCGAUGGCUUAAGAAAUUUGCAGAGUCAAAUCCGUGAAGUACUUAAAUUGGACGACAAAGUGAAAAGACUCGCUGAAGACUUGUACAAAAAGAAAUCUCUGCUUAUUAUGGGUCGUGGAUUUAACUUCGCUACUUGUCUGGAGGGAGCUUUGAAAGUAAAAGAAUUAACUUACAUGCACAGUGAGGGUAUUAUGGCCGGCGAAUUGAAGCAUGGACCUCUGGCUCUUGUCGAUGAAACCAUGCCCGUAAUGAUGAUCAUGAUGAGAGAUCAUGUUUAUACUAAAUGCAUGAAUGCUCUGCAACAGGUUACUGCUCGCGAGGGUAAACCAAUUUUAAUCUGCCAAGAAGGAGACAAGGAAACAAUGGCCUUCAGCCAAAAAUACCUCGAAAUUCCGAAAACAGUGGACUGCCUCCAAGGAAUCCUCACCGUUAUUCCAAUGCAACUUCUUUCUUUCCACAUCGCCGUACUUAAAGGAUGCAACGUAGACUGCCCCCGAAAUUUAGCCAAGAGUGUUACUGUUGAAUAGUGCUUUUAUAUUAUUUUUAAGAUCAAAUCAUAUAGUUCUGAUGGGACCAGAAUUAAAAGUAUUGUACAUUUAGGUUCGGCAUUUUUUACUAGUGAUGUUGAUUAUAGUUACUUUCGAGUAUUCGUUACAAAUCGUUACUUUUGUAUAAAGUAAUCAUUUAUAGUAUUCGUUACUUUCAUUACUAUGAUUACUUUUGUUACUUUUGUAUUGAGUACCGGUAAUCAUAUCGAAAAUCGUAUUUCGCAGUAGGUAGGUAUUUUGUAUAAAGUAAUCAUUUACAGUAUUCGUUACUUUGAUUACUAUGAUUACUUUUGUAUUUGAGUACCGGUAAUCAUAUCGAGAAUCGUAUUUCUCAGUAGGUAGAUAUUUUGUAUAAGUAUUCGAUAUAACAACGACCUUCACAGAUCUGUUUAAGGGAUAAAAAUGAUUUGAUUAAUAUGAUUACUUUUGUUACUUUUUUAUUUGAGUACCAACAAUCAUAUCGAGAAUCGUAUUUCUCAGUAGGUAGGUAUUUUGUAUAGGUAUUCCGAUGUAACAAAGACCUUCACCAACCUGUUUAAGAGAUAAAAAUGAUUUGAUUACUAUGAUUACUUUUGUAUUUGAGUACCGGUAAUCAUAUCGAGAAUCGUAUUUCUCAGUAGGUAGGUAUUUUGUAUAGGUAUACCGAUAUAAUAACGACCUUCAUGAAGUAUGAAGUAAUCAGAGUAAUCAAAGUAACGAUUUUCCUCUCUGUAUAGUAAUCAUUACUUUAGGUAUUCGUAAGUAACGAGUACUUUGUAAGGAAUAGUUACUUUUUCAACAUCACUAUUUUUUACCUUUUUACAAAAAUUUAGGCGUCAAACGCAAAUGUUGAUUUUUUGUGUGUAAAUGCAGCGUUUUGUAGUUGAAAUUUUGUACUGAUGGCCAAAAGAAAACGCAACCACCUAAAAGGACAAAUUUUUUUUAAUAUUCAUGUACGGAAGUAUACAUUAUAAUAUUCUUAUUAUUUGAUAACAUUAUAAACAAAUUUGCAACGUCAUUUUCAAUGAGUGGCUUUUCCUUGAUUUUCUAUUCGCGGUGUGCAAGUACUUGGAGGGGAUGCGAGAAACGAUCGUGCGUGAAUAGCGGAGAAAUAUUGCAACUUUCUUAAAUAAUUCAUAUUGUCAAUUGAAAAUGUCAAAUUGACGUAUAUUUCAUACCUACUGUCUAAAUUGAAGAAGAAAAAUUAUAUGUUGCUCCACAAUAUUGAUAUGAUAUGUAAUUAUUAUAUAAAGGUAAAUUUAAUUAAUUGUAUUUUGCUUGCAGUAGGUACUACAUUUUAAUAACUAAUUUUAUUUACUAUAUACAAUUGUUUACGUUUUAAUAACAUAACCUCAUCUUACUUUUUCUUCAUAUAAUUUUUUUUGGGCUACGGCCUGACAAUUGUCCAGCAACCAGGACUAAUAUAAUUGGCCAAUAUAAUUAAAAGUGCAAAAAAAGUUGCAGACGAAUGCAGACGUAUGAAACCAGGUGUCGCUUUUCCGAACUUGCACGGUCCCAAUACAGUCAGUUACUGUAUUGGGCAUUGGUCGAAUUAAGCGGUCUAUUAUAUCAUAUUGCGAAAUACUAAUCUAUAUUCUUAAUAUGGCCUGCCACAGGUCUUCUAAGUUUGUUGGCUGACGUGGCAGUCGAUUUAGGUUUAGACCUACCAUAUCAUAUCCCACACAUGUUCGAAGGGUGGUCACUCCAGUCUCUGUACCAGAUUCUUGUAUGAACUCCAUGAUUUCACGAGCAAUAUGAGAUUUUGCGUUAUCCUGUCGAAAAAUCGCCUUUGGAAUGUAAAACCGGUUGCAGUACUUACCAAUAUCUCAUCGAGCUGUCAGAGUGCCGUUAGUAGGAACUAGAGGUGAUCUGCUUCCAAACAUAUAGCACCCCAUACCAUGUUUGGUUGUUUUGCUGUAUAUUGUUUAACAGCCAAGUCUAUAUUUCGUUUCUCACCUCUAAAACGUCUUAACCUUAUGCGCCCAUCAGAGCCACCCAAACGACACUAGAUCAAUCACUGAAGCAGACAAGAUUCCAUUGACCAUUCCAGUUUUGCCGAGCUCUGUACCAUUCUAAGCGCCGAAUAUUAUGCUGUGAUGUCUGUGCAGGACGACGCUUCACCAAUGGUAAAAGGACCUGGUGAAUAUCUCUUGUCCUUCACACAAGAGGGGAACCAGCUUCUAUAGUGGUUGAUAUAAUAAUUAAACUCUGAUAUUCUUUGUCGAGUCGAAGCAAGGUGUAAAUCGGUGUUGAAAUGAUUCAAAAACGUGUGGGAUAAUUAUUUGAUUUAAUACAAUCACUAUUAUUUACAAGUUCUAUCCAAUAUAAUUAUUAUUGGGUUUACUACAACAAAAAACAUACAACAUACAUACAUUUGCUAUGUACUUAGAAUUGAUAGUAAAGUAAACCGCGAUUUAAGAGCCGAGUAUGUGAUUAAUAAAGAGUGAGAGAAUUAAUUCGCGUGAAAAACCGAGUAAUGAUAAUGAGAAAAUGCGAGCCGUGAAGUGAGAAGUCAUCAUUCGAAAGAAAUUCUGAGUAGAGUUAUAAACACGAGCGUCUAGUCAUCAGGAUGGCUCACAAGUUACUGGGGGGAGACUAAAAACCGACCGAAGCAUAAGGAUUCCUUUUUCCUUCGGGUUCAAAAAGCAAAAAGAAGGGGAACUCAUUUAUCAAAGUCCUAUGCGUGUCUAAUUUACGUUUCAGAAAGAAACAGAAGCUUUAAUUUUGUCCGACAGGGACAAAGCUCCUUAUUGAUUUUAGGAAACAUAAAUCUGAACAGCGAGACAGUUUAAAUCACACAUGGUUGAGUUAAAGAUAUAGAAAUUGUUCUUAAUUUCGACCGAAACCCUGGGAAACAGGAUGUAUCUUAAAAUCGAGUGUUUUCAUAGUGCAAACAAGGGUGCUUGUAUCGCCGACUAAACGGGAAGCCACCCUCGAGAAGCAGUGUUUUCUCGGAAUUAGUUAAUUAGGAAGCUACAAAGGGCAGAUAUGUUCGUUUUCAAAUAAUCAAGGAUUCGACGAAUUUGAUUAAGAUUCUUAUAUAAGUAGAAAUGAUAAUUAGCUUUAUGUUAGAAAAUCUAACAGUGUCAAAGGUAACACCAAAAGCUGACGGUAAGCUCUCGGCCCCAUUCCAAGUGGUCUUUGAUUAAAUUUUCUUCUUGAGACUAACCUUCCUGUAGCUUUAACUAAAUCAUCUCUUACUUGAUGUACACUGUCCCAUCUAUUUCUGAAAGCACGGCUUUGCUAUAUUCUAGAAUGUCCAGACCCUCCAUGACGCCGAUAAGUCUCGUUAUUGGAUCACCUCCUCCAAACUCUUAACAUCGUUGAUGGAUUAGCUUAAACUUUUUGUUAAAUUUCCCGUAAACCAAAACCUGCAUCUUUCAUGCCUACAAUUCGUCCAUUUUCGAAGUCGUUUAAAUGACGAAAUUGCCAAAAACCGCGGACUUAAGGCUGUAUGACACUAUGCAUUUUCUUGUAUCAUUUCUAAUAUCGUUUCUGAUAUGUCAAAAAAAUGUAUAGUGUCAUACACAGAUACAAGAAACGAUAUCAGAAACGAUACAAGAAUUUGUGUCAGGCACAGAUUCUUGUACAAGAACUGCGCCAAUUUCUGCCCAAAGAGCAAAAACGUAAAACCUGCUGGUAAAACUUCUAAUGUCAUAAUGGCGGCUGAAAAUGAGAUCAUAUGAUUUAUGUCUUGAUGAAUUUAUUUGUGUUUUGUAGGUAUUAUUUAUAAAUCUUUUAUUGAUACUUAAUAUACCGUUUGGUAUGGACUACUGUUCUACUAAUAACCAUAUAUUUAGCUCCUAAUAAAGUUUAAACUAUGUAUAACCAAGUAUAAUAACUUUGGGUUUCAUAUUGCAUAAUUUUUUAAUAGAGGAAAAUACAAUAGUUCCAAUUUGGAUCAAACUGAAGAUAAUUAUAAUGCAGAUAUUUUAGCACAAAUAUCAAAACAAAAUAAAAAACACAAAUAAUCAACAGUCAACGUAAAAAUUCUAGUUAUUAUAACAUUAAAAUAUUUGUUUUUAAAAGUUUAUAAAUUUUAUAAAAUCCUUAAAAUCAGCUGUAGACGCAGUACUACCAUACCAAUGUAACGUGACAGGGUGACAAACAAAGUUUCGACCAAUCACGUGCCGAAUUUCAUACAGUUUUCGAUACAAGAACUUGCAUAGUGUCACACAGGGCACAAAUGUACGUACAAUAAAUGAUACAAGAAAAUGUAUACAAGAAACGAUAUCAGAAACGAUAUUAGAAAUGAUACAAGAAAAUGCAUAGUUUUAUACAGCCUUUAGGCAUUUCAAUUUUUUUGGAUAAAUCAAAAACAAAAAAUUUAAGUAAAAUCCUUUAUAAAAAGCUAUAUGUUUUAUUAAAAUUCCCUAAAAAGUGCUACAUCACAUAUUAUGCAGAACGUUUUUGUUUAAUUACAUAUCAUCAUCAGUGCUGAACAGGAUGCUCACAUGCUAAGCCACCAAAAUUGAAAAUAUUUGGGUAAAAACCCUUUACAGUUAUAGUCAUGGAAACAUUGAAUAAAAUUAUUAUAAGUAACAUGAAUGUUGUAAAUAUUACGCGAGUAAUAUUACAUGAUUGCAAAUGACUAAAAAUUGCAAAUAAACUAAAAUUAAAUACACAGAAAUAAUCUUUUUUGUUUUCACGAAAAACAAAAAGAAAAAAAAUAAUCAGUUAAAGAAAAGAUAGCGAAGUAAAAACUUUAUCACAUAUAUAUUUUUAGAUAAGACUUACAAAGAAAUACUUUUGAUCCAAAUAAAUAACUUUAUACAAAGUGUUGCAUUUUUUUGGCCAUCAGUAUAUUUACAAUCGUUCCAAAUAAUUAGAAAACCAUGUUAAUAACAGUUACCCCAACUAAUCUAAAAAGUAUAUUGUAAAUUUAGAUUUAAACAAUACAUUUUUAUAAUAGGCCUGCAACCCGCGUACAAAAAAAAGUUGAUUAGUACCAAGCUGAAAAUUUGUUAAUAGCUUAACGGUGUCUAGUCGGACAAGUUUGAUGUAUGGGAACACUUGAACAGGGGAAGUUUUCAGACUACGAAAACGUCCUGUGUAUUUUGUCAGACAGAACUUCCAAUUGAUAUGUUACCCUUUCAUUAAACUCUCAUGCAAAAAUUAGACUGGUAUUUAUCACCAACCGGGCAUUUUAAUAAGUCCGACACGUAGAACAUGUCAAAUGACAGCAAUUAUGACAGGUGAUAAAUAGCGGUCUGAUUUUUGCAUGAGAGUUUAAUGAAAGCGUAACAAAUCAAUUGGUAGUUCUGUCCGACAAAAUAAAUGGGACGUUUUCGUAGUCUGACGUUCCAAAUUUCUAACCCGUUCCACAAUUAAAACUUCCAGUGUUCCCAUACAUCAAAGUUUGUCCGACUAGACACCGUUAAGCUAUUAACAAAUUUUCAGCUUGCUAUUAAUCAACAUUUUUUUGGUACGCGGGAUCCAGGUCUAUAAUAAUAGUUCCCAAAAUGAGAUUAGUUAUAAAUGUUGGAUGUUAUAUUUGUAAAGAUUAGAUCGGCAUAAACUUACAGCAACUGUGUUAAACGUUUUUUCAAUUAUCUUUAUACAAUCUGUUUUCCGUUCGACAAAUUCAUUUUAAGUAUGUGACGGAAAAUCACUUUUAAAAUUUAUUUUAUUCAUAUUCAUAUUCAUCAAUAUUUAUUCAUUAAUUUACACUUUUAAAAUUUAUUUUAAUUUAUUGAUGUUCAAUUUGCUACUGUUUAAAUUUUUUAUUAAUACAUAAUAGUGUAAUUAAUACAACUGUUUUAUAUUCCCAUAACCAAUUAUUUUUUGUUCACUAAACUUUAAAAUAUUGGAAUUUUUCAUAUACAGUAAGCGCAACACUACUAGAUACAUGGGUAGGUACCUAAUUGAUAUGCUUAUGGGCUAAUCCGAUCCGUUCUCAGAUGUGACUUUCAUCCUUGUCAUGUUACUGUCAAGAAACUAUUCAAAAUUGUUUUUGCAUACAAGAAAUACAUUAAUGAAUAGUAUUGUUACUCUGCUUUAAAAUAACUCUAUUUAAACACCAAGAAUAUUACAAUACUUUAAAACUUUUACAAUUUUAACAAAAUGGCAACUUUAAACGUCAAAUACAGCUGAUCUAUUGUUUGUUAAUAUUCAGUUGCUAUACAUUUUUUGACGUUCUAAACGUCACUAGCCAUAAAAAUAACAUUGCAACAAGUGAAAGGUUCAGGACUGUAAUAGCUCAAUGUUCCUAUGUAUCUAGUAGGGUGGCGGUUACUGUAUUUGCUGCCAAUAUAGUAUAAUUGGUAGUUAACAUUGGCCUACUAAGGGUUAAAUGUGAUUAAAUUUAUGUUGAUAUAUUAUCACAGUACUUAGAUUCUUCUCUUUCAUAUACCGUACCGAAAUUUUUAUUGUCUGGUAUUGUAACGUUCAAGUCGUGGUACGACUAUGGUUGUUAAGCAAUAUCAUGCUCCUGAGGGGAAUGAGGCAAGGAAUUCUUUGGAAGGAUGUUCAACAGAAAUGCUCCAGGUUGGGCGCCACUUUGUAAGACAGUCGUAGUAUGACCAGGGUACUAAAAAGUAUAUAAGAUCGGAAACAAUUACACCGAUGUUAGUCUAGUGGCUCAAGAAGGAAAUUUAGUGGUUAAUAUCAUAAUAUGGAGCCAAAGUAACAGGCAGAUGUAACGAUCAAUCGGUCGAUUGAAACGUUAUAGUGUAUCCAUGAAGCACAAAAAUUGCGUCAAGCUCUAAAUUCUGUGUAUAAACUAAAGAAUGUUUGCUUAUUUUUCUACUUUCCAUUAUUAAUUUAUUACUUAGUGCUUUAGACGCUAACGAUCAUAUCAAAAAUACCACGGACAUUUGCCCUAUCAUCAGCAGGAAUCAAUUAUAGGGAAAAGAAUAAUAAUAAUCAUAAUAUCUUAUGGCAUUUUUGCCGGGGAGAUCCUUUCGGAUUGUUCCGGCGCCAUUUACAUCUUUAACCCUGUUUGAAGUAACUGGUAUCGAUGUACACUAGCCCAGGGGGACCGACGGCUUAACGUGCUCUCCGAGGCACGGAGGGAAAGGAAUAUUAAGGAUCAAUGUUCUCACCGAUAUAUUGUGCAAUAAUGAUGACUUACUGGUAAUAAUUCCUUUAAUAGUUAGAUCGCAAAUAUAUAGAGUAAAACUAAAGAUAAUAUUCUAUUCUACGUCUUUGUACUGGUUUGAUUUAAUGGAACCUCAACUGAAUCAAUAUUAUCAUCAAUAUAUUUCACAAUACAUAGUUAAUGUUAAUUAAUAUAUAGCACAAUAAUUGAUGUGCAAUAAUACUGGCUUGUAUAAAUCAUGUUGCAAUGUUUCGCAUUAUGCUUAUUGAUAAUUUCUUGUGAAAUCUGGUAAAUAUUUCAUCCAGUGUGGACAUUAGCGCAGUUUUAUAUUUUCAGUUGCAAAGUGGACAUUAACCGUGAGAUAAAAAGAAAACAAGAGAGAAAACUUAUUUCGGAAUGCGUUUGGAGACAUUUCAGUUAAUUUAUUGUGAAAUGAAAAAGGGGUUGGUUAUGUAAAAACUUAGGGCUAACCAGACACAACAAUUUUAGUUGUUUUUAUGGUUAUGAUAAUAACUAAUUUAACGAGAAUAAUAUUUUUUAACGUUCGACAUACUCAAACAAUCAUCAUUUAGUAUCUAGAUUAAUAUUGUUGAUUAAACUAUUACCCGUAUACGCGCCAAUGGAGCAUAUAAAAUUCUUAAUUGCCUGUCAAAAAAUGCACGAUAACUAUCUCUUAAAACCUAUCAAAUUUCAUUUGCACAUCUCGACAGGUUUUAGAGCAAUAAAUAAAUCGCCAGUUUGUAAGAAAAAAUUCAACAUCCCGUAUCUCGGAAACGAAGCAUGUGUGGACCUAUGUCUAUAAAGCAAACGUCAAAUGGUAGUUGUCAGUCUUUUUCACAGAAAACCGUUAAAAUAGAUAUUAAAUGACGAAAACUUUAUUUAUUUUGGGAAAAUCGUAGUAAACUGCAUCAUCUAGCUAGGACACUUAAUUGUUUCAGAUGAUUUUAAGAUGAUUCAAAUCUUUUUUACGGUAGAAAUGUUGAUUAAAAUACACUGCGUUUAGUUUUCAAUUAGAUAUACGCACUUAGAAUGGCAACACUGCCGGCUUCCCACAUUCAAUAAGGUAUGUAAUAUUAUUAUAAUUUAUAGACAUGUCUUUAUAAACAUUAAGAGAGUAGACGGCAUCAAGUCAUAGAGUCUCAAUUUCAUCUUCAAAAUAGAGGUGACUAUUUCUUUAGUUUUUUAAUAUUCUUUUAAAAAUCCUUACUUGUUAAUUGCUUUAAAUAUUCAUUUAUUAAAUUAAUAGGAUUAUUUUGAACUAACUAUCUAUUCAGUCAUUACAAUAAUUUAUAUACUAUGCAAUAAAAACUAAUAAUCGAGAAAAGAGAAAAAUUGAUGAAGUGAUUUUAAUAACAUACUGUUAUUGAUAAUAUUUGAACAUCUUUAACAGUUAACAUACAAUUUUAAAUGUUUGGUAAUAAAUGUUGUAAGGAAUUUGAGAAGCCGCUUUAUAGAUAACCACUUGCCGGUAAUUUAACAAUCGUAUUAUGUUACCUACUCAUUGUAAAUUAGUAAUUUCAGAACUUAAAGUAAAGCAAUGUUGCCUUUUUCUAGCGCUUCCUUCAAUGUGGUCUAUCUAAUUAAAAAGUAAACGCUCUGUAUAUAAACCGUAUAUAAACCUACAGGCUACUUAUAUAAUAAACUCUGCUUAUACAUUAUAAGAAUUAUAAAGGAAAUAUGGUACUUAUUUACGCAAAUUGUUAUAUUUUUUAUUAUGUGUUGUUAUUUAUUAUCUUCUAUAAAAAAAUGUGUUUGUAAAUUGCGGGUAUAUUUGAUACUCAUGACUUUAAUAAAAUAUUCUAUUCUUA
rnacentral:misc_RNA from 1 species